UAUCUUCUCUGCCCCUCGAAUUUAGGGUUUAAGCGAGCUUUGAGGUUGUGUGGCGCCCAGGCCAUGGCGCUGGCGCUGUCGUCGGCUCCCACAUUUUGCCACCGCGUGCUGGCGCUCAGGAGCGGGCAUGCGAGGCGCGGCAUCGGCCAGGUAGCGAUCGAUUCUCGCUCUUCCCGGAAGCGAUCGGCGCCAAUUGUAGCAGCGGUGCAAAUCGGCGGCGUCACGCUCACUCGCGAAGAGGUUGUGAGGCAGGACGAUCCCACAAACAAUGUGCCCGACUCGGUUUUUUCAAAGAUUGGACUCCAGCUCCAUAGAAGGCCCGAUCAUCCUCUGGGGAUCCUGAAGAACGAAAUCUACAGCUUCUUCGACGAGAAAUUCCCUGCCGGGCUGUUUCGGAAAUUCGAUGACUUGAGUCCAGUGGUUUCCGUCAAAUCUAACUUUGAUGAUGUUCUAGUGCCUCCCGAUCACAUAAGCAGAAGCUACAACGAUACGUACUAUGUCGAUGGAAAUACAGUUUUGCGGUGUCAUACGAGUGCGCACCAAGCGCAAAUGCUUCGAGAUGGCCUCACGCACUUCCUCGUCACCGGAGAUGUAUACAGAAGAGAUGCUAUCGACGCGACACACUAUCCAGUUUUCCACCAGAUGGAAGGCUUUCGUGUUUUUAGUGAGUCGGAAUGGAAAGACACGGGUUUGGAUGGUACAGAUUUAGCUGUAAAGGAUCUGAAAGAAACUCUCGAGGGUCUUGCCAAACGACUCUUUGGGAACGUAGAGAUGCGAUGGAUAGACACGUACUUCCCAUUCACCAAUCCGUCUUUUGAGCUGGAAAUAUUCUUCAAGGAAAAAUGGCUCGAGGUUCUAGGCUGCGGAGUCACCGAGCAAGAAAUCUUGAAAAGCAAUGGACAAAGUGGUAAAGUUGCGUGGGCAUUUGGUCUGGGCCUCGAGCGCCUCGCCAUGGUUCUCUUUGAUAUACCGGACAUCCGACUCUUUUGGACGUCAGAUCCUCGCUUCACUGCUCAAUUCAAAGCCGGGCAACUUGGAACGAAGUUUAAGCCUUUUUCAAAGUAUCCUCCCUGUUACAAGGACAUAAGCUUCUGGAUUACCGAUGCUUUCACGGAGAACAACCUGUGCGAGCUCGUCAGAGAUGUCGCUGGUGACAUUGCCGAAGAAGUGAGCCUCAUCGACCAGUUUACAAACAAGAAGGGGAUUUCCAGCCACUGCUAUCGAAUAACUUACCGAUCCAUGGAGCGCUCUCUGACGGAUGAGGAAGUAAAUGCCAUUCAGUGAGGGAGGAAGUCGCAAAGCAGCUGCAAGUUACGCUGAGAUAAUUGUAAGUAAUGGAGUAGUUUCUUUCCAGAUAGCACAGGCCAUUCUCCUCGCAUAUCUGUGCUCCUAAUGCAAGGGGUGCAACUUCGUCCAGCCGAAGCUUCAAGUGGUUCAAGCAGAUAUCUACACACUCGUUGAUCUCAAAGCCGGUGUAGCAAAUGGUUUGGCCAUAGAUUCUUUCAGACACAUUGGUUGUUUUGCUGGGCUUCCCCAUCAAGAGCUGCGAGUAAAGGGACUCCAGAUCCGCAGCAAAUUCACUGUGUUCUUCUGCCGUUCCUGGAUUGCGAGCAACAGCGCCUGAUGAAACUCCACCUGCAGGACAGACAGGAACAAUCUUCACGGAGGAUGAGCUUGCCAAAGUGGAGAUGAUCAACAGAGCAAUCAUAAUUGCUUUGGACACCACAACAUAGACAGGGUUUUGCCAUGGAUCGAGCUUCGUGGACAUCGUCACGGACUUCCCAAAGAUAAUACUAAAACUAUCAGCUUGAGAGAUGAUAGAUUUUGGAGACUA